GAUGAAGAACGUAGCGAAAUGCGAUAAGUAAUGUGAAUUGCAGAAUUCAGUGAAUCAUCGAAUCUUUGAACGCACAUUGCGCCCCUUGGUAUUCCGAGGGGCAUGCCUGUUCGAGCGUCAUUUCAACCAUCAAGCCCCCGGCUUGUGUUGGGGACCUGCGGCUGCCGCAGGCCCUGAAAUGCAGUGGCGGGCUCGCUGUCACUCCGAGCGUAGUAGUUACAUCUCGCUCUGGGCGUGCUGCGGGUUCCGGCCGUUAAAAGCCUUAUUUACCCAAGGUUGACCUCGGAUCAGGUAGGAAGACCCGCUGAACUUAAGCAUAUCAAUAAGCGGAGGA
rnacentral:misc_RNA from 1 species